rnacentral:rRNA from 1 species
CGGGACGGGUGAGUAACGCGUGGGUAAUCUGCCUCAUACAGGGGGAUAACAGUUAGAAAUGGCUGCUAAUACCGCAUAAGACCACAGUACUGCAUGGUACAGUGGUAAAAACUCCGGUGGUAUGAGAUGGACCCGCGUCUGAUUAGGUAGUUGGUGAGGUAACGGCCCACCAAGCCGACGAUCAGUAGCCGACCUGAGAGGGUGACCGGCCACAUUGGGACUGAGACACGGCCCAG